UUAAGGGCGCACGGUGGAUGCCUUGGCACCAGGAACCGAUGAAGGACGUGGGAGGCCGCGAUAGGCCCCGGGGAGCUGUCAACCGAGCUUUGAUCCGGGGGUGUCCGAAUGGGGAAACCCGGCAGUCGUCAUGGGCUGUCACCCAUACCUGAACACAUAGGGUAUGUGGAGGGAACGCGGGGAAGUGAAACAUCUCAGUACCCGCAGGAAGAGAAAACAACCGUGAUUCCGGGAGUAGUGGCGAGCGAAACUGGAUGAGGCUAAACCGUAUGUGUGUGAUACCCGGCAGGGGUUGCGCGUGCGGUGUUGUGGGUUCGUACUUCAGUCGUCUGCCGGCGGCUGGGUGAGUCAGAAAUUGUUGAUGUAGGCGAAGGGCAUGCGAAAGGCCCGGCGUAGAGGGUAAGACCCCCGUAGCUGAAAUGUCAGCAACUUGCUUGUGCGAUACCCAAGUAGCACGGGGCCCGAGAAAUCCCGUGUGAAUCUGGCGGGACCACCCGCUAAGCCUAAAUAUUCCCUGGUGACCGAUAGCGGAUAGUACCGUGAGGGAAUGGUGAAAAGUACCGCGGGAGCGGAGUGAAAUAGUACCUGAAACCGUGUGCCUACAAGCCGUGGGAGCGUCGCCGUGUUCUUUGGAGCACGGUCGUGACUGCGUGCCUUUUGAAGAAUGAGCCUGCGAGUUUGCGGUGUGUUGCGAGGUUAACCCGUGUGGGGAAGCCGUAGCGAAAGCGAGUCCGAAUAGGGCGGUUUAGUAGCGCGCUCAAGACCCGAAGCGGAGUGAUCUAGCCAUGGGCAGGUUGAAGCGGAGGUAAGACUUCGUGGAGGACCGAACCCACCAGGGUUGAAAACCUGGGGGAUGACCUGUGGUUAGGGGUGAAAGGCCAAUCAAACUCCGUGAUAGCUGGUUCUCCCCGAAAUGCAUUUAGGUGCAGCGUCGUGUGUUUCUUGCCGGAGGUAGAGCACUGGAUAGGCGAUGGGCCCUACCGGGUUACUGACCUUAGCCAAACUCCGAAUGCCGGUAAGUGAGAGCGCGGCAGUGAGACUGUGGGGGAUAAGCUCCAUGGUCGAGAGGGAAACAGCCCAGAGCAUCGACUAAGGCCCCUAAGCGUACGCUAAGUGGGAAAGGAUGUGGAGUCGCAGAGACAACCAGGAGGUUGGCUUAGAAGCAGCCAUCCUUGAAAGAGUGCGUAAUAGCUCACUGGUCAAGUGAUUCCGCGCCGACAAUGUACCCCAAGAGUCCAUAUCGACGGGAUGGUUUGGCACUCGAUGUCGGCUCGUCGCAUCCUGGGGCUGGAGUCGGUCCCAAGGGUUGGGCUGUUCGCCCAUUAAAGCGGUACGCGAGCUGGGUUUUAGAACGUCGUGAGACAGUUCGGUCCCUAUCCGCUGUGCGCGUAGGAGUCUUGAGAAGGGCUGUCCCUAGUACGAGAGGACCGGGACGGACGAACCUCUGGUGUGCCAGUUGUUCUGCCAAGGGCAUGGCUGGUUGGCUACGUUCGGGAGGGAUAACCGCUGAAAGCAUCUAAGCGGGAAGCCUGCUUCGAGAUGAGGACUCCCACCCACUUGAUGGGUUAAGGCUCCCAGUAGACGACUGGGUUGAUAGGCCAGAUAUGGAAGCCGGGUGACCGGUGGAGUUGACUGGUACUAAUAGGCCGAGGGCUUGUCCUCAGAUGCUCGCGUCCACUGUGUGGUUCCCGGGUUGCGAACAGUCGCACCGGUGAAUCAGUUCCACUUUACUUAAUUGAAGAGUGUGCUUGUUCGCUAGAACCCGAUAGGGUUUCGGUGGUCAUUGCGUUAGGGAAACGCCCGGUUACAUUCCGAACCCGGAAGCUAAGCCUUUCAGCGCCGAUGGUACUGCAGGGGGGACCCUGUGGGAGAGUAGGACGCCGCCGAACAAUCUUUGAAGGACCCUUGGUCCCAGCGUGCAUGCUGGGACCAAGGGUCCUUUUGUUUUUGCUGGGCCCGCAUCGGCGUGACCGGUGCGGGAGAAUGGCUGAAGUACAUGAAGACAGGAGUCACGCCGAUGUCCACCAACUCUCCCGACGACCGGUCGGGCCGCGAGCCCCGGGGCCGGGAAGCCGGCGACCGGCGGGAGGCCCGCGGCUCCGGGCCGCGCCGCGACGGCGGUCGUGGUGGUUUCCGGCGUGACGACCGCCGCGAUGAGCGGCCGCGCGGGCCACGCCGCGAUGAUGACCGUGGCGGGUUCCGCCGUGACGAUGACCGUGGUGGCUUCCGCCGCGAUGACCGGCGGGACGAGCGUCGGGAUGAUCGCCGGGACGACCGGUCGCGUGGCCCGCGUCGGGACGAUGAGCGCGGAGGCCGCCCCGGCGGCUCUGGGCGCCGCGAUGACCGGGGUGGCCGCCCCGCUGGGCGUUACGAGCGCCGUGACGACCGGCGUGAUGACCGCCGUGACGAUCGUCGUGACGAGCGGCCGCGUGGGCCUCGGCGUGAUGACCGCGACGGUGGCUCCCGCCAGGGCGGUUUCCGACGGGACCGUGACGAUCGGCCGGGCUUCCGCCGUGACGAUGACCGAGGUGGCUACCGGCGCGACGACCGCCGGGAUGAGCGCCGCGACGGGCGCCGUGAUGACCGUGGUGGGUUCCGCCGCGAUGACCGUGAUCGUGACCGUGGCGGCCGGGGCGGCGGCUCUGAGCGCCGGGAUGAGCGGCCUUCGUAUCGUCGUGAUGAUGACCGUGGUGGGUUCCGGCGGGAUGACCGGCGGGAUGAGCGGCCUUCGUACCGUCGUGAUGAUGACCGUGGUGGGUUCCGGCGGGACGAGCGCCGGGAUGAGCGGCCUUCGUAUCGUCGUGAUGAUGACCGUGGUGGGUUCCGGCGGGAUGACCGGCGGGAUGAGCGGCCCUCGUACCGUCGCGAUGACGACCGCAGUGGGUUCCGGCGGGACGAGCGCCGUGACGAUCGUCGGGAUGACCGUCGUGACGAGCGACCGCGUGGGCCUCGCCGUGAUGACCGGGACGGUGGCUUCCGGGGUGGUCGGGACGACCGCGGGCCGCGUCGUCCGUACGGUCAGGGCCGGGGCCGCGACGACCGGCGCUCCGGCG
rnacentral:rRNA from 1 species